ACUUGGACAGUGUCCUGUGUUUGAAGCCACUGUGUGCAUCCCAAAGUGAUGAUGAUACAUCCAGUCCUCUGGCCCAAAAAGCAAGCACAUUUAACACAUGCGUGGACGCAUGGAGAGAUGGAGAGCUCCGAUUCCUGGUGUCUCACCCCACGAUGACUGUGCCGAUGCUCUUUGCCAUCAGGAGUGUCUCACUCUCAGGAAUACAUUGAUUUUCAAAUAGUGAACCAGCCUUGUGUCCCUGGAAUAAACUUCAGUUGGUCAUUAAGAGGACGUCAGAGAGACACUCCAUGGCCUCAAAAGCACAUGCCAGGCUGUGACCUGCCUCAGGAGGCCACGUGGGAAAGAGCUGAGUGGCCCGUGAUGAUGGUCAGCAGGGAAAGGGGCACCGAGGAACCGCAUUCUGUCAACCAAAAGAACGAGUUUGAAAGGAUUUUCCCCAGAGCGUCCUGAUGAGAACUCCGUGUAGCUGACAGCUUGGUCUCAGCCUUCUGAUGCUCUAGAACCCUCCGUGCUUCACGAGACUUCUGACCUACGGAACUGCCUGCUAAUGAUGUGUAAGCUGGAACUGAAUGACCAUGGAAAUGAAAUUUCAACACCACAUGUCACAUGCCAGG